GAUGAACGCUGGCGGCGUGCCUAACACAUGCAAGUCGAGCGAACCCUUCGGGGUGAGCGGCGGACGGGUGAGUAACGCGUGGGUAACCUGCCCUGUACACACGGAUAACAUACCGAAAGGUAUGCUAAUACGGGAUAACAUACGAGAGUCGCAUGGCUUUUGUAUCAAAGCUCCGGCGGUAUAGGAUGGACCCGCGUCUGAUUAGCUAGUUGGUAAGGUAACGGCUUACCAAGGCAACGAUCAGUAGCCGACCUGAGAGGGUGAUCGGCCACAUUGGAACUGAGACACGGUCCAAACUCCUACGGGAGGCAGCAGUGGGGAAUAUUGCACAAUGGGCGAAAGCCUGAUGCAGCAACGCCGCGUGAGCGAUGAAGGCCUUCGGGUCGUAAAGCUCUGUCCUCAAGGAAGAUAAUGACGGUACUUGAGGAGGAAGCCCCGGCUAACUACGUGCCAGCAGCCGCGGUAAUACGUAGGGGGCUAGCGUUAUCCGGAAUUACUGGGCGUAAAGGGUGCGUAGGCGGUCUUUCAAGCCAGAAGUGAAAGGCUACGGCUCAACCGUAGUAAGCUUUUGGAACUGUAGGACUUGAGUGCAGGAGAAGAGAGUAGAAUUCCUAGUGUAGCGGUGAAAUGCGUAGAUAUUAGGAGGAAUACCAGUAGCGAAGGCGGCUCUCUGGACUGUAACUGACGCUGAGGCACGAAAGCGUGGGGAGCAAACAGG
rnacentral:rRNA from 1 species